GGAGUUUGGACCGUGUCUCAGUUCCAAUGUGGGGGACCUUCCUCUCAGAACCCCUACUGAUCGCAGGCUCGGUGGGCCGUUACCCCGCCGACAACCUAAUCAGACGCAGGCCCAUCCUUAGCCGAUAAAUCUUUGGCUGUUAAAACAUGUGUCUCAACAGCAUUAUGAGGUUUUAAUCAUCGUUUCCAAUGGCUAUCCCUCUGCUAAGGGCAGGUUGCCUACGCGUUACUCACCCGUCCGCCGCUUUCCACUACACAGAAUUGUCCGAAAACGCUUCAAAGUAGCUUCUCGCUCGACUUGCAUGUAUUAGGCACGCCGCCAGCGUUCAUC
rnacentral:rRNA from 1 species